CUCAGGCCAUGGCCUGACCUCAGCGACGUCACCGUGCUCUCCAAAGGCUGCACAGGAUCCCCACUUCUCAAAUACCACCAACAGGGAAGUCAAAACUAAGCAGAACAAAACUUAUCUCAUACUUCGAGCUCCAAAGCCCACUGAAGGCUGGAACUUGGAAUUGCCUCCAGCUUAGCCCCCUUGGUGAAAAGUGUGCUAGCACAUUUAGAAAAUCUCUUCUCGCUUGUCGAAAUUGUGAAAGAAGGCCCAGCUUAUGGCUAUUUCUAAGUGGGCCCCGACGCCGCAGCUAGAGGCAUCCUCCAGAGACACCUGGAAGCUGCCCCUUGCCAAUUAGGAAUGGACCUGAAACACGUUUUUUCAUUUCAGGAAGAAGCCAGAGCAGAUACAAAAGUUCCAAUUGAACCCUCGAUGGUUUUACCAUCAGUCGGUGAAGCAUCCACCAUGCGAGUCUGCAGGUGGGAAACCGAUGGUUCCGAGUAGAUCCACGGGAAGGAUGGGGCAAGGACACUUGCAUUUCUCCUGGCCCCCCAAGAAGAAAGGCCCCUCCGCUCCAGAGUACUCAGAGACCACACAGCAGAACCUCCCUGACACCUGCUUUUCUCAUAGUCCCUGUGCUUCCCAAGGCCGCAAGCAGUGCACACAGCAGGAAACCACGAAGCAACUGCACAUAGGAAAUCAGAAUUCCCAAAUAUUCCUGGGGGUUUCUUCCUCCCUACUUUUUCGCCUGUGUUGUUUUCAGUUUUUCAGCACUCAAUCAUCAUUCCAUCCCGCAGCACACGAACCUGUUCUGUGAGCAUUCCCACCCCGACUGCCCCGCAG
rnacentral:lncRNA from 1 species